CUUGUACAUUAUGCUUAGGAAGUAGUACGCACACCAAGUGUUUGAUGAAAUGUCUAAAAGACAAUAACAAGUGAAAUUGUAUGCAAGUAAUGGGUAAAUAGAUAUAAUUCAUGUGAAGAUUAUCUAGGGAUGAUGUCGAGUAUACCUUAUGCUUGUUUAAAUGAAUUAAUGAUGUGGAGUAUGCUUCAAGUGGGUCGUAUGUUAGAUGUGAAUUUGAUAUGGUUGUUCAUAUGUAUGAGCAUAUAUGCUAAUAAGAAUGUGAAUGUAAUGACAUGAGUGUAUAGGAAUCAUGUCAAGAUGGAUGGGAGCUUUGAAGGCUAACGGGCUAAGAGGACUCAAUCAAGUAAGCGAACGAGAAUACGGACGCGCAAGGCUAUACAUGUUUGGAUGUUUCAUCUAGAAGCGUACGCGGUUGAAGAUCGAGUCAAGACACGGAUUGUAUGUGGGUGUAUACGUAGUCACUUAAUUGAGUCAUGUAUGUUAGUUUUUGCAUUAAAUUAUAAAAGAGAUUAAUGUAUUUAAAUGAAA